CACGUAGGCACCAAGCGUUAUCCGGAUUUAUUGGGCGUAAAGAGCUCGUAGGCGGUUCGGUAAGUCGGGUGUGAAAACUCUGGGCUCAACCCAGAGAGGCCACCCGAUACUGCUGUGACUAGAGUGCGGUAGGGGGAGCGGGGAAUUCCUGGUGUAGCGGUGAAAUGCGCAGAUAUCAGGAGGAACACCAGCGGCGAAGGCGCCGCUCUGGGCCGUAACUGACGUGAGGAGCGAAAAGCAUGGGGUAGCAAAACAGG
rnacentral:rRNA from 1 species